rnacentral:rRNA from 1 species
GUAGGUGGCAAGCGUUGUCCGGAAUUAUUGGGCGUAAAGCGCGCGCAGGCGGUUCUUUAAGUCUGAUGUGAGAGCCCACGGCUCAACCGUGGAGGGUCAUUGGAAACUGGAGAACUUGAGUACAGAAGAGGAAAGCGGAAUUCCACGUGUAGCGGUGAAAUGCGUAGAGAUGUGGAGGAACACCAGUGGCGAAGGCGGCUUUCUGGUCUGUAACUGACGCUGAGGCGCGAAAGCGUGGGGGAGCAAACAGGAUUAGAUACCCUGGUAGUCCACGCCGUAAACGAUGAGUGCUAGUGUUAGGGGGUUUCCGCCCCUUAGUGCUGCAGCUAACGCAUUAAGCACUCCGCCUGGGAGUACGGCCGCAAGGCUG